rnacentral:tRNA from 1 species
GCCCCCAUCGUCUAGCGGCCUAGGACGUCGCCCUUUCACGGCGGUAGCACGGGUUCGAAUCCCGUUGGGGGUGCAA